rnacentral:lncRNA from 1 species
AGAAGGAGGGAAAUACUUGCCUAAUAAUAGCAAGAAGCAAUACCUAAUGUAGCCAAAGGAGUUGUUGAAGGAAUUAUAUCUCUGGAGUCAGCCAAUCGGGAGAGACCAACUAGAGGAAAAAGUAAGAAAGGAGCUCAGAGCAGAAUCCAAAACCAUCUCUAGGAGACAUCAGGAACCUGGAAUGGAAGAAAGUGACUAAACCCAGAUCCUCACCUCAGACAUUUUACCAAAACUGGAAGGUAUUCUGGGGCUUCUCUUGCUACCCACAGAGUAGCCCAAACUAUUCUAUUUCCUUGGAAGAAAGAAUAUUGAUUGAAGAAAGAAGACUGAUCUC